ACAUGUGCAGAAAUGUGACCCAUCGUAACUUACUGUUUAGAAAUUACCAAAGAUCUGAGAUGGAUGCCAACAGCAGCAAUCUGAGCUCAAGUUAUAACCUUAAGCAAAGCAAUGAGAAACUCUUGAGAGGAAAGAAUGAAGAACCCAGUGGAUUAUGUACCUAUCAGACCUUUGUUACAAAUAUACAUUCCCAGGAAAUGAGUUCGCCAUACAGCAGCAUUCAAGCUAUCAAAACAUCAACAGAAGAGAGAGUGAAUGAAAUAUUCAAUGGCUUUCCUCAAUAAGAAAGAUAUUGAUUGCUGCCGACUCUUGACUGAGGUAUUAAUUGGCAUGAUUUCUUCACCACAAGAUGCCAGGGAGGAUUACAACAACAUAAUACACAGUUAUAAAAACCGAUAAAACCAUUACAAUUAUGAAACAAGAAAAUUCAUUUCACUUGGAGCAGGACAGUAUUCAGCAA